CCACGGUGGCUGGAAGCAUUCCUCCAUCUCUAUCAGGCCUCUCAUUCCUUGAUGUGAAAACCUGACAUUUUCUCAAUCAUACACAAACAUUUCUUCUGAACCAGCCCCGUAGGCUGCCCUCCAGUCCGGAUCCCUAAUCCGGGCUUCUCCAGAGCCGGCCCUGGUUGGGGCCCAGUCUCCCUCCCUGGACUCUCUGUCAGCCCAGCUCUCUCUGGAAAAUUACCAUAUCACUAGCAGGGGAGGAUUUGGCCAGAGAAGCCAAGUCUGCUCUGAUGGUAACAGCGUUCCCCACUUUCUUGUUGCUUCUUUUCAGCCCUGCUGCCCAGUUCUCUCUGAUCUGCCCCUCGCCUCCAUGCUGUACCUGGGUGUUUUGGUUUUGUCAUCACUCCUGUGAGGGCCUGUCUCUGGCUACAUCUAAACAGGAAAUGUGAAAACAGGGAUGCUGGUUGGGACGUUCAGAGCACUAUAGGCUUUACCUUUCCCUGCCUGGAAUGUCCUCCCAUCCGCCGCACCAACAACUGGACAGGUGAAAAGAAUCAAAGAGGAAAGGAAGAAGAGGGUGCAAGCUUGAUGCCGGCCGCCUUGCCCAAGGCGGGGUGAGGCCAGCACUCGGGUCAACGUGAGGGUGAAUGGAGAUGAGAACAGAAGGGGAGGCCUGGGGCAGAGCCACAGAAACUAAAGGGAAUUUCCAGCAGGAGGCUAUGGUGAAGUCUCUGAUGAUGCAAAGAAGACAAGGAGAAUGAAAAUCCAAUGAAAGCCCGAUGGUAUCGGUUGACCUUAAGGAGAGUGAUUCUAUGGCACAGCCUCUCUGGAAGGUACGGUGUGUUUGCUCACAGUAUGUCAAUAUCCUUUGACCCAGUGGCCUUUCUGCUAGGAGUUUAUCCUACAGAUAAACUUAGAGUGGUGCUCAAAUAGGUAAGUUCAAGGAUAUCCUCUGAAGCAUUGCUGUAGUAAAAAAAAGAUCAUAGAUAUCCUCCAAGGGCAUCAUUAGGGGCCUAGUAAAAUAAAUUCCGCACAGCGGAAUACCGUGUAGCUCUUCAGAGAAUAAGCAGCUCUCUAUAUGUGA